CUUCACUGGCUCUGGCCGCAGACCAGGUUUAGGCUCUGCCCCCCACGCUUGGAGCGCAAGAAAUGAAACUAAGCUUGUUUUCAGGAAACUGAAACAGAAGCGGCCAGGUUUUUUUUUUAAGAAUUCUUCUUGCUUCAUUUGAAUACUCCUGCUGACCUCCCAAACCUCCCCAGGCAGGGACUGGGCACUCCCAAUUCCCUCCACAUCUAGUAAGUGCUUAUUGGGGAGGGCUCCAACUGCCUGGGGAGGAAACAGCAAAGUGGGACAGGACCAAAUGCUUUGAUUCUACCUCCUCCCCUGUGACCCCAAACAACUAGCCUUAACCAAUAAGCAGACUGGCAAAUCUCAAAAACAAACUUGGGCGGAGCCCAGGACCGGGGAUUUUUCUCUCGGCUUUACAGGGAAAGGACCCUUGAUUGAGCGGACUCAGAGACCAUUUGAGAAAUCAGCACAUGUAUCUCUGGAUGGAGACACAGCGGAAAAAGCUCCUAGCCGUCUCGGCUUUUCUGUUAGCCGUGAUCCUCAUACUGGCACCCCUCCUGGGGGUUUACUUAUACAGAGCCAACUCAGAAGCCUGUCAGCAGGGCUUGGUGCUACGGCAGGAAAGCCAGCAACUGAAGGAGAAGUUGAGGCAGAGCCAGGAAAGCUUCUUGGAGGUGGAGGCCCAAUGGCGGAGCUGCAGCAAUGUUUCGAGAAAAAAAGAACCCAGAAGAGACAAGUACAGCACUGCCUGGCCCUCAGAUCUACUCUUUACUUCUGAGUCUAGGACUGGCCAUUACCUUGAUUCCCUGAGCAUUCUGAGCAAGGCACUUCCUACCUUUUUGGAGACUUCUAUGCUCUGGUUCCUGGUGUUAUUUCCUGAAGCUUAA
rnacentral:lncRNA from 1 species